CCAGGUCCUGGAGCGCUGGUGCACGUCCCCACGGACCAUCGAGGUCCUGAUGAACACCUACAGUGUCCUGCAGCUUCCCGAGGAGGCCAUGGGCCUGGUGCCUCCUGAAACUCUGAAGAAGCACCAGCACUUCUACUCUUCCCUCUUCGCCCUGGUGAGGCAGCCCCGGUCACUGCAGCACCUGAGCCGCUGCGCGCUACGUGCCCACCUGGCAGGCUGCCUGCCCCACGCCCUGCCCCGCCUUCCACUGCCACCCCGCCUGCUCCGCUACCUGCAGCUUGACUUUGAGGAUGUGCUCUACUAGGCAGGGGUGGAUGCUUCAAUCCCCACCUGAAAGGGGCAGACAAAUCACACAUCCAAGUGACAUCUGAUGAAGACAGCAAGUGGGCCACUCCUCUCCAAGCACCCUCUAGCCUGGAUGUGCAUUAAAAGUCUCCAGGCCAAGCUGGCAGUGGUGGUGCACACCUGUAAUCUCAGCAAUUUGGAAGGCUGACACAGGAGGACUGCAAGUUCGAGACCAGCC